rnacentral:rRNA from 1 species
UCCUACGGGAGGCAGCAGUGGGGAAUAUUGGACAAUGGGGGCAACCCUGAUCCAGCCAUGCCGCGUGUGUGAAGAAGGCCCUCGGGUUGUAAAGCACUUUCAGCGAGGAAGAACGCCUAGCGGUUAAUACCCGCUAGGAAAGACAUCACUCGCAGAAGAAGCACCGGCUAACUCCGUGCCAGCAGCCGCGGUAAUACGGAGGGUGCAAGCGUUAAUCGGAAUUACUGGGCGUAAAGCGCGCGUAGGUGGCUUGAUAAGCCGGUUGUGAAAGCCCCGGGCUCAACCUGGGAACGGCAUCCGGAACUGUCAAGCUAGAGUGCAGGAGAGGAAGGUAGAAUUCCCGGUGUAGCGGUGAAAUGCGUAGAGAUCGGGAGGAAUACCAGUGGCGAAGGCGGCCUUCUGGACUGACACUGACACUGAGGUGCGAAAGCGUGGGUAGCAAACAGGAUUAGAUACCCUGGUAGUCCACGCCGUAAACGAUGUCGACCAGCCGUUGGGUGCCUAGCGCACUUUGUGGCGAAGUUAACGCGAUAAGUCGACCGCCUGGGGAGUACGGUCGCAAGGUUAAAACUCAAAUGAAUUGACGG